GACGAACCGUCCUAACGUUGUUCGGAAUCACUGGGCUUAAAGGGCGCGUAGGCGGCCUGCCAAGUCAGGGGUGAAAUCUUUCGGCUUAACCGGAAAACAGCUUCUGAUACUGGCGGGCUCGAGGGAGGUAGGGGCAGAUGGAACUUCGGGUGGAGCGGUGAAAUGUGUAGAUAUCCGAAGGAACGCCGGUGGCGAAAGCGAUCUGCUGGAUCUCAUCUGACGCUGAGGCGCGAAAGCCAGGGGAGCAAACAGG
rnacentral:rRNA from 1 species